rnacentral:rRNA from 1 species
AAUGAACGUUGGCGGCGUGGAUUAGGCAUGCAAGUCGUACGCAUAGCUUCGGCUAUGAGUGGCGCAAGGGUGAGUAAUGCGAAGGUAACCAACCCUGGUGUUGGGCAUAGCCGCGGGAAACUGCGGGUAAUUCCCAGCGACGUCACGAGAUGGCAUCAUCUUGUGACCAAAGGUGUGAUUCCGCUCUAGGACGGGCCUUCGUGGUAUUAGGUAGUUGGUGAGGUAACGGCUCACCAAGCCGACGAUGCCUACCGGGUGUGAGAGCAUGACCCGGCACACUGGAACUGAGACACUGUCCAGACACCUACGGGUGGCUGCAGUCGAGAAUCUUCGGCAAUGGGCGAAAGCCUGACCGAGCGACGCCGCGUGAGGGAUUGAAGGCCUUCGGUUGUAAACCUCUUUCGUAGAGGAGGAGGGGCCGUGAAGAACGGUCUUUGACCUAUUCUAGGAAGAAGCUUGGGCUAAGUUCGUGCCAGCAGCCGCGGUAAU